rnacentral:rRNA from 2 species
GUGACUGCGUACCUUUUGUAUAAUGGGUCAGCGACUUAUAUUCUGUAGCAAGGUUAACCGAAUAGGGGAGCCGCAGGGAAACCGAGUCUUAAUUGGGCGUUAAGUUGCAGGGUAUAGACCCGAAACCCGGUGAUCUAGCCAUGGGCAGGUUGAAGGUUGGGUAACACUAACUGGAGGACCGAACCGACUAAUGUUGAAAAAUUAGCGGAUGACCUGUGGCUGGGGGUGAAAGGCCAAUCAAACCGGGAGAUAGCUGGUUCUCCCCGAAAGCUAUUUAGGUAGCGCCUCGUGAAUUCAUCUCCGGGGGUAGAGCACUGUUUCGGCUAGGGGGCCAUCCCGGCUUACCAACCCGAUGCAAACUGCGAAUACCGGAGAAUGUUAUCACGGGAGACACACGGCGGGUGCUAACGUCCGUCGUGAAGAGGGAAACAACCCAGACCGCCAGCUAAGGUCCCAAAGUCAUGGUUAAGUGGGAAACGAUGUGGGAAGGCCCAGACAGCCAGGAUGUUGGCUUAGAAGCAGCCAUCAUUUAAAGAAAGCGUAAUAGCUCACUGGUCGAGUCGGCCUGCGCGGAAGAUGUAACGGGGCUAAACCAUGCACCGAAGCUGCGGCAGCGACGCUGAUGCGUUGUUGGGUAGGGGAGCGUUCUGUAAGCCUGUGAAGGUGUGUCGUGAGGCAUGCUGGAGGUAUCAGAAGUGCGAAUGCUGACAUAAGUAACGAUAAAGCGGGUGAAAAGCCCGCUCGCCGGAAGACCAAGGGUUCCUGUCCAACGUUAAUCGGGGCAGGGUGAGUCGACCCCUAAGGCGAGGCCGAAAGGCGUAGUCGAUGGGAAACGGGUUAAUAUUCCCGUACUUGGUGUUACUGCGAAGGGGGGACGGAGAAGGCUAUGUUGGCCGGGCGACGGUUGUCCCGGUUUAAGCGUGUAGGUGUGUGUUCCAGGUAAAUCCGGUUCACUUUAACACUGAGGCGUGAUGACGAGGCACUACGGUGCUGAAGCAACAAAUGCCCUGCUUCCAGGAAAAGCCUCUAAGCAUCAGGUAACAUCAAAUCGUACCCCAAACCGACACAGGUGGUCAGGUAGAGAAUACCAAGGCGCUUGAGAGAACUCGGGUGAAGGAACUAGGCAAAAUGGUGCCGUAACUUCGGGAGAAGGCACGCUGACACGUAGGUGAAGUGAUUUACUCAUGGAGCUGAAGUCAGUCGAAGAUACCAGCUGGCUGCAACUGUUUAUUAAAAACACAGCACUGUGCAAACACGAAAGUGGACGUAUACGGUGUGACGCCUGCCCGGUGCCGGAAGGUUAAUUGAUGGGGUCAGCGCAAGCGAAGCUCCUGAUCGAAGCCCCGGUAAACGGCGGCCGUAACUAUAACGGUCCUAAGGUAGCGAAAUUCCUUGUCGGGUAAGUUCCGACCUGCACGAAUGGCGUAAUGAUGGCCAGGCUGUCUCCACCCGAGACUCAGUGAAAUUGAACUCGCUGUGAAGAUGCAGUGUACCCGCGGCAAGACGGAAAGACCCCGUGAACCUUUACUAUAGCUUGACACUGAACAUUGAGCCUUGAUGUGUAGGAUAGGUGGGAGGCUUUGAAGUGUGGACGCCAGUCUGCAUGGAGCCGACCUUGAAAUACCACCCUUUAAUGUUUGAUGUUCUAACGUGGACCCGUAAUCCGGGUUGCGGACAGUGUCUGGUGGGUAGUUUGACUGGGGCGGUCUCCUCCUAAAGAGUAACGGAGGAGCACGAAGGUUGGCUAAUCCUGGUCGGACAUCAGGAGGUUAGUGCAAUGGCAUAAGCCAGCUUGACUGCGAGCGUGACGGCGCGAGCAGGUGCGAAAGCAGGUCAUAGUGAUCCGGUGGUUCUGAAUGGAAGGGCCAUCGCUCAACGGAUAAAAGGUACUCCGGGGAUAACAGGCUGAUACCGCCCAAGAGUUCAUAUCGACGGCGGUGUUUGGCACCUCGAUGUCGGCUCAUCACAUCCUGGGGCUGAAGUAGGUCCCAAGGGUAUGGCUGUUCGCCAUUUAAAGUGGUACGCGAGCUGGGUUUAGAACGUCGUGAGACAGUUCGGUCCCUAUCUGCCGUGGGCGCUGGAGAACUGAGGGGGGCUGCUCCUAGUACGAGAGGACCGGAGUGGACGCAUCACUGGUGUUCGGGUUGUCAUGCCAAUGGCAUUGCCCGGUAGCUAAAUGCGGAAGAGAUAAGUGCUGAAAGCAUCUAAGCACGAAACUUGCCCCGAGAUGAGUUCUCCCUGAGACUUAGAGUCUCCUGAAGGAACGUUGAAGACGACGACGUUGAUAGGCCGGGUGUGUAAGCGCAGCGAUGCGUUGAGCUAACCGGUACUAAUGAACCGUGAGGCUUAACCUUACAACGCCGAAG